UCAAAUGUUGUCUCCUUCAGGAAGCUCGAAUAUGUACUGGCUUGCAGCAUCUCAGUUCGAAUCAUGACCAAAAUAACACAAAGGUCUUCGUAUGUUUGACCAUCAUGUUUGGAUUUCAAUAGGGUUUUUCAAAAAAAUAACCCUCUUUGCGAAGUAAAUCUCGAUGAAAACGAUUAUUUAUUAAAUCAUUAAUCACAAAGU
rnacentral:lncRNA from 1 species